AGGCGCGUAGCUCAGUUGGUUAGAGCACUACCUUGACAUGGUAGGGGUCGGUGAUUCGAAUUCACUCGUGCCUA
rnacentral:tRNA from 2 species